UACGUAGGGGGCGAGCGUUGUCCGGAUUUAUUGGGCGUAAAGAGCGUGUAGGCGGCCAGGUAGGUCCGUUGUGAAAACUCGAGGCUCAACCUCGAGACGUCGAUGGAAACCAUCUGGCUAGAGUCCGGAAGAGGAGAGUGGAAUUCCUGGUGUAGCGGUGAAAUGCGUAGAUAUCGUCUGGAACGCCAAAGGUGAAAACAGACUGCUGGGAGUGUGCUGACGCUGAGACACGAAAGCCAGGGGAGCAAACGGG
rnacentral:rRNA from 1 species